AGGUCGUGAAGUGGACACUUGCGCAAUAAAUCCUUAUAACUCUUUCAUGUCUCGUAUAAUGAUUCACCCUUAAAUUGGGUGAAGGUAGUGAUAUCAUUCCUUAGUUU